rnacentral:lncRNA from 1 species
UCAAAGAAUCCGUUGCUGCUUCUUGGUUAUCUGUUUUUCUGAUUUGAGCAUUGGAGGAUCCUCAUCGGAGCCACAACCUUCGGUUUGGGACUUGUGUUGUAGGUGACUCCAGCACCAGCAACACCAUGCGAGGUUUUCAGGUGUUUAUCUUCUGACUCUGACCGAUUUAAGCAGUAAUAGCACUCAUUAUAUGCUCAAAUAAGUUCACAGAUGCAUUACCAUGCAAAUAAUAGAGACCAUCUCUAAGAACUAAACCCAGACGAUAGUCACAGAGGAUAGGUGCUCAUGGCUAUA